rnacentral:rRNA from 1 species
AUUGAACGCUGGCGGCAGGCUUAACACAUGCAAGUCGAACGAGUGGCGGACGGGUGAGUAAUGUUUGGAAAUCUAGCUUAUGGAGGGGGAUAACUACGGGAAACUGUAGCUAAUACCGCGUACCAUAGGAUGAGCCCAAGGGGGAUUAGGUAGUUGGUGAGGUAACGGUUCACCAAGCCGACGAUCUCUAGCUGGUCUGCGAGGAUGACAAGCCACACUGGGACUGAGACACGGCCCAGACUCCUACGGGAGGCAGCAGUGGGGAAUAGUGCGCAAUGGGGGAAAGCUGACGCAGCCAUGCCGCGUGAAUGAAGAAGGCCUUCGGGUUGUAAAGUUCUUUCGGUAGCGAGGCGUUAACUACAGAAGAAGCACCGGCUAACUCCGUGCCAGCAGCCGCGGUAAUUC